rnacentral:rRNA from 1 species
GAUCGGCCCGCGUCUGAUUAGCUAGUUGGUGUGGUAAUGGCCCACCAAAGCGACGAUCAGUAGCUGGUCUGAGAGGAUGAUCAGCCACACUGGGACUGAGACACGGCCCAUACUCCUACGGGAGGCAGCAGUGGGGAAUAUUGGACAAUGGGCGCAAGCCUGAUCCAGCCAUGCCGCGUGAGUGAUGAAGGCCUUAGGGUUGUAAAGCUCUUUCGCGCGCGACGAUAAUGACGGUAGCGCGAGAAGAAGCCCCGGCUAACUUCGUGCCAGCAGCCGCGGUAAUACGAAGGGGGCUAGCGUUGAUCGGAAUCCUGGGCGUAAAGCGCAUGCAAGCGGAUUGUUAAGUGUGGGGUGAAAUCCCUAGGCUCAACCUCGGAACUGCCUUUCGAUACUGGCAAUCUUUGAUCCGGGAGAGGUGAGUGGAACUGCGAGUGGUCAGGUGAAAUUCUUAGAUAUUCGCUAGAACACCACUGCGGAAAGGCGCUCACUUGCCCGUGUACUGACAGAGAAGGUGACAAAGCGAGGGUAGCUAACAGGAUUAUCAUUAACCCUGUUAGUCCCUAUCCCGUAAACGAACAUGGACUUGGGGUGGCCUCAUCCUUAGUUGAGACAGUCCCGGAACCUAACUGCGAUUAAUACC